GUUCGAUAUUCUCUUCUGCAGGAAUCAGUACAUAUAUAUAUGUUUGAAAAUUUUCGAGCAAGUGACCGACCGUGCAAGGGCUGUUAGCCAGUCAAGGUUGUUAAAAACUUCGAUUUGUUGAGCAAGUGACAGUGGAUGUUCACAAAGUUUCCAGGAACACGCAAGUUUAAGUACGACCAAGGAUUUGUAUAGGCCAUAGCCGCCAAAUAAAAAAGUAUGUGUGGUUCCAGUUACAUCUGAUAAAAAGUUAGGGUAGGUAGGUAGGGAUUUUUUUUUUAUUUUAUGUUAUUUUUUUACAUUGAGUCUAUGGGAGCAACAUUCUGACUUGAACAGUGCUUAAUGAAAAAUGACAAUAAAAUCUUUAGGGUAGGCUAUUUUUAAGCCGAAAAAGUAGGGACG
rnacentral:lncRNA from 1 species